CAGCCAUCAACCUUCAAUAGCGCCAGUCGGACUUCAACAGCACCAACCGAACUUCAACAACGCCAACCAGACUUCCACAGGAUCCUCCAGACUCCUCCAGCGGACGAACUUCCACAACGCCUUUCGGACUCUUCUAUCGGCCGACCUUCAGCCGGAUUUCUUAUGCAAUCGGACCUCUCCAGCAGAUAAUUAUUCAGAUAAGCUUCUACAUCAUACAAAUUCCAGAUGGAUUUCUCC
rnacentral:lncRNA from 1 species